AUUAAAAGACCCUAUAAAUCUUUAUAUUUAGAUUAUUAUAAUUUUAUAGAUUUUUUUUGUUAUAAUAAUCAAUGAUAUUUUAUUGGGGUGAUAUUAAAAUUUAAUAAACUUUUAAUUGUUAAAAUCAUUAAUUUAUGAAUAAUUGAUCCGUUAUUAGCGAUUAAAAAAAUAAGUUACUUUAGGGAUAACAGCGUAAUUUUUUUGGAGAGUUCAUAUCGAAAAAAAGAUUGCGACCUCGAUGUUGGAUUAA
rnacentral:rRNA from 1 species